GACGAACGCUGGCGGCGUGCUUAACACAUGCAAGUCGAACGGAAAGGCCCUGCUUUUGUGGGGUGUUCGAGUGGCGAACGGGUGAGUAACACGUGAGUAACCUGCCCUUGACUUUGGGAUAACUUCGGGAAACUGGGGCUAAUACCGGAUAGGAGCUCCUGCUGCAUGGUGGGGGUUGGAAAGUUUCGGCGGUUGGGGAUGGACUCGCGGCUUAUCAGCUUGUUGGUGGGGUAGUGGCUUACCAAGGCUUUGACGGGUAGCCGGCCUGAGAGGGUGACCGGCCACAUUGGGACUGAGAUACGGCCCAGACUCCUACGGGAGGCAGCAGUGGGGAAUAUUGCACAAUGGGCGGAAGCCUGAUGCAGCAACGCCGCGUGCGGGAUGACGGCCUUCGGGUUGUAAACCGCUUUCGCCUGUGACGAAGCGUGAGUGACGGUAAUGGGUAAAGAAGCACCGGCUAACUACGUG
rnacentral:rRNA from 1 species